rnacentral:lncRNA from 1 species
GAAUAUAAAAUUGAAGAAAUAUUAUUAGCAAUUCUUGCGACCCAUCACAAAGACAUGCAGUUCAUCGACUUAUUAUAUAUUUAGCAAAACCGUAUAAAAAUUAAAUAAUUAGUUGCAGAAGAAUUCAAAGAAAGAAGCUAAGCUAUGCGCUCAGAGGGAAACAUUCUCAAUCUUUUCAAUGGUAGAAUCAUCAAUUGCACUACUACUCUUCUUUAGUUUUAUAUAUAUAGAGAGGAAAAUACGCCCCUUCAGUGCCCAGAACAUGUGGAAGAUCAAAAUAUUCGUCCCAGUUGUUCCCUGUUAUCUACAUAUAUAUAAAAUCAACACUUUAUCUUUGUUAACACAUAAAUAUUGAAGUAUCAAUCAAAGGCGAAUACAAAUAGUGAAAAAUCACCUUAAAUUGCUUCCUGAAACUCAAAGAAUAGAGGAAGAUUGUCUAUACAAAAUCACCUUCUUAAGGUGAAGCAACAAAUUGGAAUGAUCAUUUUUGUCAAGCUAAAUUGUGGAGUUUGAUGCUUCCACUGUUUUUUUUAUCGGAUGUCCCCAAAGGGACUGAUGCUUCCACUGUCGAGGUAUCCUCAUGCGGGUCUUUUAAU